rnacentral:rRNA from 1 species
ACUCCUACGGGAGGCAGCAGUGGGGAAUAUUGGACAAUGGGGGAAACCCUGAUCCAGCCAUGCCGCGUGUGUGAAGAAGGCCUUCGGGUUGUAAAGCACUUUUCAGUGGGGAGGAAAGGUUGAUGGGUUAAUCCCGUAUCAGCUGGUGACGUUUACCCACAGAAGAAGCACCGGCUAACUCCGUGCCAGCAGCCGCGGUAAUACGGAGGGUGCAAGCGUUAAUCGGAAUUACUGGGCGUAAAGCGU